CUCGGCAUGACUGUCAUCAAAGGAAUUUCCCUACAACAGAGCUACUGAGGUUCUUGGAUAUUUUGGGUAGACAGAUUUAGGCCUAUUUUAUGACCAAUUUCUCCCGUCUCUCCCUAGUGUUAACAGGCCUGGGUUUCAUUCAUCCAUGCACAGAAAAGGUGACUUGGAGGUAAGUAUAGGAUCUGACUCAAAGCAAUGUCAGAGCAGUCUUAGAAUGGGGACACAAGCUCCAUGAUAACCCCCUAAAGAAAAUGGUCCAAGAGCUGUUCCAAGUGUGGACCAGGGAAAAAACCACCAAAGAGACAAAGCACUUCCUUCCAGCAGAUGCUCAGCAGGCUGCUGGAGGAGGGAGCUGCUUCCCACGCAGCUGAGUCCACCAGCCCCAUGGACAGACCCAAGCUGGGCCAGUGCUGCCAGAUCCUAGUCCUUCAGGGGCAGAAAAAUCCUAUAAUGUCAAACAACUUUAUGUUGCGAGAUCCAUACAGGAUUUCUGUGUUAAAGUCUAACCGUGCAACAGAAGUGGGUUGUUUCUUUCUUUUUUUUUUUUCAAGAGUAUCCUUGAACAGUCAGCUGGAGAGAUAACCAGAGAGAAGAUCUUUCUGGCUUUAAUACCCCAUUAUUAGGUUGCAGUUGAGUCACAUACAUUUGGAUAUUAACUGGCACAUUUAGGAAGUGGAUCAACCCUGGAUUCCUCUCUUUGAUUCAAGGGCUUUGGUUUCCUAAUUUGUAAAAUGGAGAAGAGGAUGGGCUGAGAAAUGUCUCUUUUCAACCUCAUUCUGAAGGCAGAAAAGUUGAGGUGUCCUCUAAAAGAACUGCUGCUGUAUCUCAUAGGAGCAAUGAUCACUGAUAUUUCUCUGACAACGUGCCUGAAAGCAAGAUUCCAAGGUGUGGAUGUCUCCAAAGUAUUUUCACACCCUCAAGGCAGGGAAGGUUAUCACUUGGGUCCCUCUGAGCACUCGUGUCACGCCUCCUUGAAGUGUGGCUGUGCCUUCCUGAUCACCCCAGGAGAUCCUGGAGGCCGGACAGCACUGUGCUUUACUCAUUUCUGCACGUCUUCAUCGCAAGGCUUCCUUGACAAGGGACACAAAGCGAGCCACCAACGCUUGCUGAUGCUGCAGUGAAGGUAGGCUCUGCACUAGCCAUGGGGCUUAUGUUGACGGAAAUGUGGUGACCGUUGUCUGCACGACUAAAGCAUAUGACCUGCUUUGCAGCAGGAAGCACCACACCCAGAUCUGUUGUACAAAGGUCACUCUAGCAGCCUCACAGCUGUGGGUCAGGGACUGAUGCAGGGCUGCCUUGGGAGUCCACUGGGGAAGCUAAGAUGCGGACUGCCCGCAUCCUGUCUCUAAUUCCAUCCUGCCACCACUCUGUGGUGUCAAAUUGCUUCCUAUUGCCAAACCUCUGCUUUAUUUUCUGUACAGCAGAUCUAGUGUAGAGGAUGUUCUUUCACACGUGGGUCUCCAAGGCUUCCGAAGCUGGGGCUUGUGACUCCUGGUCUUGCAGCUGUGUAUCUGCCACUCUCCUGUUCCUGCCCAGUUCCCAUCAGAACUGUUUUAGCUUGGCCAAGGUGAGACAUUUGGAAUCUGAAAUGCUCAGGUCAGUAACAGCAAUCAGGCCAGGGGGCUUCAGGGCCAGGAAGCAAGACCUCACUCAGUAGGCUCUGCUCCCUGUGGGGAUUCCAGGAGGGAUCUGCACCAAGUAGAGAAGGUGAUGGUGCCCAUUUUCCUGGGUGAUGACUGUCUUGUUGAAUACUUGCAUUUUUCAGGAGCAUUAAAGGACAUUUUCCUCAUCAGUCUUUCUCUUGGGCCUAUUACAUAAGCCACAUCUCUUCCUCUCCCUUCUAGCUAGAACCACCUUUUCCUUUCUGUGUAUGUGACACAUUUCUUCUGUGAUUCUUCCUUUAUUUCUGCCCUUGAACUACUCUGGCAGGAUUAAAAGACUUUUCUUGUUUUCUGUCCUCCGACAAAGGACAUGGGCUUGUUUUAAAUCUUGUUAUUAAGAGGCUGAAAUAAGGAGCUGCCAAGACUAUUAACUAUCAGGUCAGAAAAUUAUUCCUCUUUAAAGAGAAAGCUCACUCAGGCUCUGUGGGGAGGUGUGGAUGGUUUUGGCCCAAUGAUAUCAGCUGUCCUGCGGGACACAGGGCAGUGCUGAUGUGCACAUAAAGCCCCCAGUUUGAGGUGGGGGCUUUCUCAGCACUGAAUCCUUCAGUGCAUGAAUGAAAUACCUCACUUCCUGCAAUUUAAUCAUUUCUUCGAAGGCAAGACCUCUGUAACUGUAAACAGAUGGUGAGGACUAAGGUGCACAGUGUUCUAACACUUGCGUGAUCUUCAAUGAUAUGAAAGUGACUUGACACAUUUCACUUUUCUGUACUUUCCUUGGGGAUGAAGGUGAAGAUGGCUCUGAACUCCAUAUGAGAAAAUGGCAGAGGAUGUGACCAAAAGCUAUGCAGAGUGUUGGAACAGUCUAGGAAACGCAUCGAACUCACUUCACUGCAAAAGCAGCUGCAGUCAGUUAAAUAAUAGACGUUUCUCAUCAUUUCUAUAUGAAAUACCUCUACAGGAAAUAACCACUCAGUUCUUAGGACAGUCACAGUGAUCUUAUACCAUUCUACACAUAUUUGGGGAUAUAAUUUUAUAGAUUCCUGUGGGGACCCUGGCUUAAUCAUAAGCCUGGGCUCUUGACACUCAUCAGUGGCUGAUCAUUUGCUUUUGUUGGUCAGUGAGCUUUUAAUGCAGUGAGGUGCCCACACACCCACCACUAAAGACAACCACCGUGACUCUGACACAGUCUUCGUCUAGCCACACAGGUAACCCCUGUUUCCUUCCCUUGUUUCUCUCCACUAGAAGCCACCAUCAGUCUGCAUCAGUCCUGUAUCCAUCACUCCUUUCCUGUCCUUUUUAUGCCAUUUCAUUGCAUUUACUUGUGAUUCUGUGAAAGCAUAUUUUUAUUUUAUUUCUGUUUGAUUUAAAAUCUUUAAAACUCACUUCUGCACUUAGUGUCUUAGCAUUUCUGGAGUCCAACCAUUUUGAUGGCUGUGUAACAUUCUAUCCUGUGAAUAUACCACAAUUUAUUUUCCGCCUUCCACUUGGUGGGCAAUUGGGUUGCUUCCCAGUUUUGUACCUGUGAGCAACGUGAUGGUAAGCAUUCUUACACAUGCCCUGCAUGUUUGCGUGCAAGAGUCAUACUGCUGAGGGCCGGGGAUUUAGCUCAGCGGUUCGGUGGCCUGCCUUGCAAGCGCAAGGACCUGAGUUCAAUCCACAGUACCAAAAAAAAAAAAAAAGUCAUACUGCUGAAUAACAGGCUACGGAAAGUGUUCUGCUUAAGAGAGGAUGAUAACAUUUAAAAUUCUACACGAAUAUCCCAUAUACGUGUAUAUGUAAUUUAGAUAGUUCAUAUUACUCAAACUGACAUUUGCCACAAUUAAA
ensembl:lincRNA